CCUGAACAAUGACCUGGCCAAGGAUGGAACGGUGAAUCCCCACCCAUGCAAUGCCGAG
rnacentral:ribozyme from 16 species